rnacentral:Y_RNA from 10 species
AGUUGGUCCGAGGGAUGUGAGUGAUUGUUAAACUGAUUAACAUUGUCUCCUGCUCACAACCACAUUUGACUAGCUGGGAUUUUU